rnacentral:rRNA from 1 species
AGGACGAACGCUGGCGGCGUGCUUAACACAUGCAAGUCGAACGGUAAGGCCUUUCGGGGUACACGAGUGGCGAACGGGUGAGUAACACGUGGGUGAUCUGCCCUGCACUUUGGGAUAAGCCUGGGAAACUGGGCCUAAUACCGAAUAUGACCAUUGGUUGCAUGACUGGUGGUGGAAAGCUUUUGCGGUGUGGGAUGGGCCCGCGGCCUAUCAGCUUGUUGGUGGGGUUAAGGCCUACCAAGGCGACGACGGGUAGCCGGCCUGAGAGGGUGUCCGGCCACACUGGGACUGAGAUACGGCCCAGACUCCUACGGGAGGCAGCAGUGGGGAAUAUUGCACAAUGGGCGCAAGCCUGAUGCAGCGACGCCGCGUGAGGGACGACGGCCUUCGGGUUGUAAACCUCUUUCAGUAGGGACGAAGCGCAAGUGACGGUACCUACAGAAGAAGGACCGGCCAACUACGCGCCAGCAGCCGC